GCUCUCUAGGUUGCUGGAUGAUUUUGGAAACGACGAGUCCUGUAUCCAGCCCUAGUCCCACCAAGAUCCAGCCUGCAUUCUGUCAGGUGCUGACUAUCUAUGGUCAUCAUCCUUUCACAUAUUGAGUGCCUUGUGGGAGGUGCAGAGUUCCUUCAGCUCACGUUGUAUUUAAGGUAUCUACCAUCCCAUAAACAAAUAAAAGUUCUGUUCCAGCAUCAGAGAAGGUCUGCUCCAAAUUCCACAGAGGAUGACAAGAGCCCUGGACUGAGGAAGGGAGAAACUGUAAAGGGUUAAAUAUGUUGGCAGUGAAGGCUGGAAAACCGGACAGAGUACUGAGAAGCUUCAUCGUGGAGAAUAAGGAAGGCACUCUUCCCUGCAGGCCCAGGGAAUGGUUCCAGGCGCCUGAUGGGACUUCAGACUGUUGUCUAAGUGACUGCUUUCUGGAGGAAUGAUAUCCUAUAUGAAGCACACAGACAGACAUAGUGAACUGGGAUUAAAGGGGUGUGAUAACUCAUGGAAUCCUUCUGCCCAAACAAGAUCUUCAUUCUUUCAUAUGUGAAAAUGUGUCUUUGCAUGUAAACUCCAAGCAAGAAUGGAAAAGUGAAGAAGUAGUGUCUGGGAUUUCAUGUUACAGUGGUCUUUUAUAGCUACCUGGUGAAGUAUCUGUAGAGUUUUCUUUGAUGUGCAUAGAAGAAAUUCUAAGAUAAGGGUUAUAUAAUGCCAAAACCAGAUUCUGCUGUGGGCUCUAGUCUGCUGCCAUAGGAACUGCGUUUGACAGUCCAGGCCUCUGGCUUUGUCAAGAAGAGUUUGAAUCUCAACAAUUAAUUCCUAUCCUUAGACUGGAUCUGCUUUUAGCUAGCUGGUGUCUUUCCCAACCCUUCAAGAGAAUGGAUUCUGAAUAUUGAGAUGCCUGUCCCCUGUGAGCCCUACUGGAGUAAAAAUCAGCUCCUCUUUUGCUCCCAUCAGUAAAUGUGGAACAUUAGGUUGGAGAAAAAGGCUGAUUAUGCAAAAUUUCAUUACAGUUGCAAAGCAAAGCAAAAAAAAAAAAAAUUUAGUAUACUGUUUGGAAAAUCCUUCAACUAAAAUACAAUGUUGAAAAAAAAAUAUG